GAAUGGCAUCGCUCCUGGGAAGUUGGCGAUAUCCGUGCACAGUGCCGGAUGCUGCAGGCUGCCUGCACUCCAUCCUCUGGGGUGCAGGCUCCAGCGAUGCAGCGCCCACUGAGGUCGCUCCUUUUUUAGGGAGCUGCGCCGGUGAAUUAGGUAGAAACAAAAGUAUCGCCGUGGUUGGUGUUGUUGCUCUCCCCUUGGUGGUGGCGAUUCUCGAUGUCGGAGGGUACUUGUGGCCUCUCCUCUGCUGUGAUGUAUCCCCAGUUGUUUUCGAGCCCACGUUUUUAUUUCCCAACUUGGAUGGUGUCUGUGGGUAAAAAGGUCGGAGACGACGCCGGAGUGGGAAUGGUGGGUUGCCAUCGGGGCCAUCGAGAGGGUAUGGAAUUCGGCAAGACAGCAGCAUAUGAUCAGGUUCCAAAUGAGUAGGAAAUAUGAGGGGUGAAGAGAGGCGGCCAAGUUUUCACCAACUGCGUCAUUGACAGAAUAGUUGGCUCCAGAUUUCUCCUGGAGCUCUGUGCCAGAAACCAGAAAGUUGAUCCCACAAUUGUGAGGCACAUCGAAAUACCUACUUCUGAAUAACAAACACGUUGUAGUAAUGGGUACUCAUUGUAGCUUAAUUUCAAUGAGACCAAGUACUACUGACCCUUUCUAAUC